rnacentral:lncRNA from 1 species
UAAAUGAAAUGAAAAGGUAGAAUGCAGAAAAGUUGAGCGAUAGCAAACCUCCCAUUGUUUAUAUUCAAAACUACUGAAGUUUUUGAGGUUUGGUUUGUUUUCUAAGUACCAUAGCAAUGUGUUUUUCAGGAAGAGAAACCUAAGCAAGAAACACUAAAAACAGGGCUGGACUGAGAUGAGCUAUUGCAGGCAGAUCUGUCUUGGAGUAAAGGUGGGGUCCUUCACAAAGGAGAAGAUGGGACUGGAAGUCAGCACUUCACAAUUUUAGAUCCUUUGUUUUCACUUCUAUUACCCAAUUCUGAUUACAAUCUGAAAGAGAUAAGACAGCCUCUUAGCCUCCUCUUGAGGAAAUGGAGAUUUAUGGUCUAUAAGAGAAGAGCACUGUUGGAGUCAGACAGAUGAGACGAUGAGAGUCAGGACUGACACACAGGUAGCUCUAACCUCCAAGUGAAGGUUCUUUGCCCUCUUACCACUUUAAUAAACAUGAACUAGGCUUCCGUAAUUUGAUUGGAAAGUCAAAUUCAACCUGAAUAUUGUGACUACAUUUUGUUGUCAUAGAUACUUUUAAUCUUUUACAGACACAGGCUUAGAUGUUCACAUUUGAAAUGACAAAAAUAUUAGGAUUUGCUUAGAAGUAAUCCAAUGGUGGAGAAAGGGUGGGAUGUGUGGAGACAGAGAUGAACCGAUACCAACUUUUGACCUGAUAAUAGUGGACAAUGGCUGAUGGGUUCAUGUGGAUUACUGUAUUAUUUUCUCUGCAUAAAAAUUUCCUUAACGAAAAAGUAAGGGAAAAAAUGCAUCUGUCAGCCUUUUCAUCUCUAUCAUACCUAAAGUGUAUCUUUUCUUAGCUGAAUUUUUUUCAACUUCUGACUAACCAGUCAAUAUCACAGGUAUUACUAGAAAAUGCUCCCUUUCAAGACUUCCUUCUCAUUCCUUUGAAUCAGAUUCUCCUUCCCAGUCUACUGGAUUAUUAACUUGGCGAAAAAUAAAAAUAUAGCUCCUUCCCAAAGAAAAAUAAAUCUAAGUAAAAAGGUAUCCCCUCUUUUGCUCAAUUUGUUCAUCCAUUUAUUGGCUAUUUAUUGUCCAAUAUAUAUCAGCGAGACUGGGGGUAGGCAACCUGGGGAUAUGAAUUCUCUGCUGGGAGCAUUCUCCCAAACUACUGCCAUGGUAAGGCAAAGUUUUUCAAAAAUGUUUAAACAAUGGACUAAAAUCCCAACACUUAUUAACUCUUCAGAUAGUUAACAGACUGAAAAGGAAAGUUCCAAGCACAAAUUCAUGAUAGAGGGAGUGUUCAGUGGAGAAUAAAGUGGUGUUGGAACAUGUGCCUAACUUUCUGGGAAGAAAAGAAAAAAAAAGACAUUGCUAACUACAGCAAAUUACCAAAACAAAUUCUAGAUGGACUAAUAUAUUAGAUGAAAAUAACUAAAAAGAAAAUACAAAUCAACAGAUACUUAAUCUUGGCAUGAGAAAACAUAAAAAUUAAGAAAGCAAGAGUUCCCGUUGUGGCUCAGUGGAAAUGAACUUGACUGGUAUCCAUGAGGAUGCAGGUUCAAUCCCUGGCCCUGCUCCAUGGGUUAAAGAUCUGGCAUUGCCUUGAGCUGUGGUGUAGGUGGCAGAUGCAGCUUGGAUCUGGCAUUGCUAUAACUCAGCCUGCAGCUCUAGCUCGGAUUUGACCCCUAGGAUGGGAACUUCCAUGUGUCACCAGGAUAUCCCUAAAGAAACUAUGGAAGAUAAUUAUAUGUGACUCAAUAAAAAUUCAAAUUCUCUGUAGUUAAAGAAAAGAACAUAAAUGAAACUAAAAGUCAAGUGGCAAACUGAAAAUAAAAGUUUAUGAUACAAAUGACAAAGACAAUUAUCCUUAAUAAUUUAGAAGUUUUUAUAAAUCACUGGGGGAAAAUGACACAGGUACCCCAGAAGAAAAAUGAAUUAAAGUUUUGAACAUGAAAUUCACUGUUAGUGGAUAAUAAAUAUAAAAUGAUAUUCAUCAUUAUAUACUAAUUGUGUUCCUAAAUAUCAAUAACAGUUAUAAAAUGUAUAAUAAAACGAUGACAAAGAAGGGAAAGCUUGGGAAUACUUUUUUUAACUUUUAAAAAACUUUUAUGAAGAAAUUAUUAAAUUAUAUUAAAAGGCUUUAUUAAAAAGACAUAAAUGAAUAGGCCAAAUCAACUAAUUAGAAAAUCAGAUAUCAAAAAGAUGCCAAUUCCCCACAAAGUAGUAAAAAUAAUGCAAAUCUAAUGAAAAUAUAUGCAGUAAUUUUUUAUAGAUUUUAAUAUGCGUGAAGGGCCUAGAACAGUUGAGACACCUUUGAAGAAGGACAAAAUAGGAGAAUUGCCCAAUUAGACAUUGAUUCAGGGCCUCUAAUAGCAUUUAUCAAUUUUCCAGAGGAGGAAAAAUUGCCUGAGAAUGUCUUCCUGUGAAUUAGAAAAAUGUGCCCCUUCUUCCAGGCAGACAAAGCCUCGUGCCAGGGUGUAUGAAGCAGGAUUUGGAUUUUAGACUCCACCCAUCUUUCAGCCUGGUGUCCUAAUGCCAAGCAUAACCUGUACGACAUACGAAGCAGUGCUUUAAAUCUUACAUAAUGCUAUAAAAACUAAUCUGUGUCUUAUUGGUAUUAUGCAACAUAAUUAAUGAAAGAUUACCAAGAACCCAGAAAUAUACUCUUACAUAUGUGGAAAUUGAAUACGGGAGACAUUGCAUUGUGUACCAUUGGGAAGGGAAUGGAUCAUUUGAUAAAUGAAUCUGAGACCACUGGUUUAAAAAAAAAAAUUGAAAUCAUACCACUACCUCAAACCAUAUUAAAAAAUAAACUCUAUGUUCGAAGUUCCCUUGUGGUAGAGCAAGUUAGGAGUCUGGCAUUGCUGCAGCUGUGGCACAGGUCACAACUGCACCAUGGGUUCGGUCCCUGGCCAGGGAACUUCCACAUGCUGCAAGUGCAGCCAAAAAAAAAAAAAAAAAAAAAAGUUUGCUAAUUGGAGUUAUCAUGUGGUACAGUAGGUUAAGGAUCCAGUACUGAAACCAGUGGCUUAGGUAGCUGUGGUGGCGCGGGUUUGAUCCCUGCACUGGGAACUUCCACAUGCUGCAGGAAUGGUAAAAAAAAUAAAUAAAUAAAUUCCAUGUUGGGUUGGAUAAUUUUAUAUGAAAAAGAAAACAAAAUGUUUUGAGGAAAAAGUGAUCAUUUAUGAGCUUAAGAUAGGGAAAGACGGAGUUCCCGUCGUGGCGCAGUGGUUAACGAAUCCGACUAGGAACCAUGAGGUUGCGGGUUCGGUCCCUGCCCUUGCUCAGUGGGUUAAUGAUCCGGCGUUGUCGUGAGCUGUGGUGUAGGUUGCAGACGCGGCUCGGAUCCUGUGUUGCUGUGGCUCUGGUGUAGGCUGGUGGCUACAGCUCCGAUUCAACCCCUAGCCUGGGAACCUCCAUAUGCCGCGGGAGCGGCCCAAGAAAU